GGGGUCGACUGGUUUUGACAGCGAGUAGAAUUGUAAAGUAAGCACGUCGAGCUAUGAAAUUAACGCUCGUUAAUAUCUAUUUCAAAAAUUUAAAUGGCGAGAAUAACUACGCUCUUGCUGCCUAAUCUGAAUAAUAGUAAGAUUUCUGGCUACAUCUCUACAAGGUAGGGAGGCGAGAUGUCUCUAAGCAGCCCUUGUUGGCGGCGGCUUUUAAAGAGGCACCAUAAAAGUCAACAUUGAAUCGGAGGUUAGCUUCCGCCAAAGAUUCUAAUUUGAGGAAGCUAAGUGUUUUGUGGGUGGUUUUCGGUCAGCAAAACAUCGAAAAUCAAUCGAAAACUAAGCGUGUAGAAAGCCUUAUGAUUGCUUGUUUGGACGAGAGUUCGAAUCUCUCCGACUCCAC
rnacentral:tmRNA from 1 species